UUUGACGGAGUUUGGAGCACCUGCUCCACCAUAUUAAACUCGUUCCUCUUGAUUAAUCUCAAUACCUCAUCAUCAUCGUUAGUCUCCAGUUUGUUGGAUUCACCAGACUGACACACUGGAGCACUAACUGGGUUCAUUAUAGGCAUAUCCAUCUUCUUACUGGCCGAAACAUCCUCUACUUCCUUCGGAAAGACUGGACCAAAGACACGACCACUAUGGGUC
rnacentral:lncRNA from 1 species